rnacentral:rRNA from 1 species
AGCUCCAAAAGCGUAUAUUAAAGUUGUUGCAGUUAAAAAGCUCGUAGUUGGAUUUCUGGUAGGAGCGACCAUACCGGGCUUGAUUGUCCGUGUUUUGCGUUGUCUCCAGCCAUCCUCGUGGAGAGCGUUUCUGGCAUUAGUUUGUUGGAGGCGGGACCCGCGUCUUUCACUGUGAAAAAAUUAGAGUGUUUAAAGCAGGCAAUUGGCUUGAAUACAUUAGCAUGGAAUGAUAAGAUAGGACUUUGGUGCUAUUUUGUUGGUUUGCACAUCAAGGUAAUGAUUAACAGAAUCAGUCGGGGAUAUUCGUAUGCAAAUGUCAGAGGUGAAAUUCUUGGAUUUUUUACAGACGAACUACUGCGAAAGCAUUUAUCAAGGAUGUUUUCAUUAAUCAAGAACGAAA